ACGCAUGCACCACUCGCGGUUUCUUCCACCCGCCUCCCCGCCCAGCUGCCUGGGUUCUUCUGCUCAGACGGGGUAGAGCCGGCUGGGAGUUAGCAGGGCCUUGGCCUCCCGCUUCAACCCACCGUCUGAAAGACGCUGCUUUCCCUUCUCUCCCCCCGUGUUGCACAGGAGGGACCAGCCGAAGGACCCCAGAGAGGCUGUUUUGUGGACAGAAGUGUGUGUUGGGGAGGAGGUUUUGGAGACAUGGGAGCAACGCUGUCACCAUCUCAGUGAUGGGGAGGUUCGGGGGCUGAGCGGGAGAACAGAGGCCAGAGACCGCGUCGGGGUCACAGAAGCUUCUGCCUCCUGCCUUCCCGGCUUUGGAACCCGCUGGUGGACCCGUGCUGGUCUCAGCAUCCGUACCCCCAGAGGAAGAUCUGGUGGUCUCAGUGGACCCCAUCAGCCACUGCUGAUGAAGGCCAGCGGGGAGACCGCCGCCUCUCAGGAGCAUUGUCUCCCUCACAGCUGACAGAUGAGGAAGCUGAGCCCCGGAGAGAAGGAGAUGGCUGCUGGGGGACACAGGAGUUGAUGGCCGCUGCCCCUGUGGGGCCCAGUUCAGCUUCAAGCACCUCGGAGUCAGCGAACCCCAAACACCAUCUAGUGACUGCACGCCUGGCCCGUCUCUCGGGACCCCUCCAGCUCACGGGAGGCGAUCAGGGGGGUGCUGCUUCCCCCAUCUUCCGGAUGUUCCAGGGGUUCUGACACCGUUUUUCCUAACCCUCACCCCCUCCACUCUGAUGGAAAAUCAGUCCCCUGCCCCCACCCUCUAGAGAAACAAUCCGGCGCCUCCGCCCAA